rnacentral:lncRNA from 10 species
AACAAAACAAAAACUUGGCCUUCUAAAUUUGACUAGUGAAUGGGGGAAAAGUCAAGUAAGGUUUGUUUGUUUUUUUAUUCCGAAUUUGUUUACAGAUGUACCGUAGCUGAAAUACAGUGUUACAUUUUGUGUCUAGAUUAAAAGAAAAUACAGUUGCCUAAAAUAAUAUCCCAUAUUUUAAAUUAUGCUGUACAUCAAUUGCAGUAGUUUUUUUCACCCCACAGUAGUUCUUUGCAAUGCGUUUAGCGUGAACUCCUGUUGAGGAGCAGCUUUUGUUACAAAUUCGAUGUGGGAUUACAACUUUGAAAACUGAAAUACGCCUUUUAUUUUUUUGUAGCUCUGAUUUGAACCUCAUUUGAAAAUAAGUACAUUGAAGAUUUAUACUAACACAUUUCCAGUGGCUGAGAUCAAGUGUUAUAACCACUACUUUGAAUGAAAAGAAAAUGUGCUAAUGUGCUGUACAAAACACACGGGUCCCAGGAAGAAAAUAAAAUAGCAGCCCAUAUUUUCAAGUGAUAGCAGGUUGUACCCUGACUCAGCACCAAUCCAUCCAAAUCCUUUAGCAGCUUUAAAAUGUGGAUGUCAGCCGGGCGCGGUGGCUCACGCCUGUAAUCCCAGCACUUUGGGAGGCUGAGGCGGGUGGAUCACCUGAGGUCGGGAGUUCGAGACCAGCCUGACCAACAUGGAGAAACCCCGUGUCUACUAAAAAUACAAAAAAUUAGCCGGGCAU